CCCUACAACCCGGACUACCAGGACGAGUCCGUGCUGUGGACGGAGAGCCGCGACGUCGGCAACGGCUUCCGCUGCGUGCGCAUGGUGAACAACAUCUACCUCAACUUCGACGCGUUCCACGGCGACAAGGCACACGGCGGCGUCCACGACGGCACCGAGAUCGUGCUCUGGAAGUGGUGCGAGGGCGACAACCAGCGCUGGAAGAUCCUCCCCUGGUGUAAGUAGUGUCCCCCCUUUGCCCUGCAUAUGCCUGAUCAAUGGCCAUGGUCUUCGCCGAACUGUACAACCAUGCCAUUGAUGGCCUGCCUUACAUCCUUUGAAAUCUGAUGUUUUCCAAUCGUUGCUUGCGUUUGCAGAGAUGGUGACGGAGGAACUUUCUGGAUUGAAAGGAGCUGCUACCUUACCUGCCUAAUAAGAACAGAAGAGAUUUCUGCAAUAAAACCGUGUGCCAUGUUUCAGAGUGGUAUUUGCGUCAGACCGUCAGUCACGGUGUGACUAGCUAGUGGCCUGUCCCUUUUGUGAGCCUGGUCUUACCAUGUGAGGAGUAGUAGGCAGGGCAUUGUGAUGUAGUAAUCCUUGUGGCUACCCUUCUUUCGAUUUCCGGCGCCUGCACUCCGAACUAUGUAUCGUCGUCUCAUUUGUCAUCUGUUCAUCUACUUUCUUCUACUGAAUGGAUGAUCUCGCUUUGCUUACAUGCAUCUGAAUUCUGCUGUACCAACGUUUGUGCUCGUCAAAUCACUCGAGGGGGAAUCGUGUGAGCCAUCCAGCGAGCCGGCGAGACCCAAAAAACAACAAAAGGAACACAACAAAGUGACAAACUACGACUCAAACUGGGCCUUGGUGUUCUUUUGAGCUGAAAGUUGAGCCUUCGUGUUGGAAUCACCAAGUAGAGGGAGAAGCUGGCUGGUUAUAGAGCUGGGCUAAAUCAGGCCCAAUCAAACCGAGUUAUCGGGAAUCGAAUCGAAUAAGGGGUUUUUUCUGCUCCAGCUUUUUAGUUCAAUUUCAGAGAAUCAGUUCACGGAAUCAUCGUAAAAUUAUUUCUCUUAGAGAAACUGUUUAGCAGAGGUUGUUCUGGAUUCAGUCUAGAAGCUGCUCUGAGAGCUCUACCAAACAGGCGUCAACGGCGAGACUGCGAGUCUGUGACACUCGAAUUUUUUGCUCUCCACAGCUCCAUCUGCAAACCACAGCCCAUUCAUCUGCCUGUACAUAGUGAAAAAAAACAGUGUUGCGCAGUUCUCGCUCAUGCCCUUAGUCCUAGUUUGCCUACUCUAUCAAUUCAAUGAUACAUAGCUUUGUUGCUGCUCAGUAGCCUGUUCUUCACAAAUAUCACUCCCGCUAUGUCGUUUGAGAUAUCUGAAAUUUCAUCGAAAAUACUAACUCAAUUUUUAAAUGAACUUUUCAUGAAUAUGUACAAGCAAAUUAGGACGAAAUUAAAAUUCGUACAUUCCAAUAAUUGGGGAAAAUAUAUAUUAUGCCCAGCCCGUGCGUUGCAUGUGUAUGAGCAUCUCGUCCAUACUAUGUUUUUUUUUAAAAAAAAGGAAGAAAAAUCCAUGCGUUUUCAGGUCAAGCAUUUUAAUUGAACGGGCUUUCUUGUUUCCAGAGGAGAGGGAGAGCUAGGAGGCCCUCAUCAUGCUGGGCCAGUAUUUCAUGCAAUGCGAGAGAGAAGAAAGAGAACUGGGGACUUGGUUGGGCCUUCUGACGCGACCUUGGCCUGGUCCAUUUCGACACCUUGUUCACUUCACAUUCCUGAUGCAAAACUAGUGCAAAUGUACGCAGAGUGCAGAUGACAGCAAACCAUGGUAGCAACAUUUGCAGCAUCGAGAAGGUCCGGAAGCCAGAACAAAUUAAAGUCGAUAACGAUUCGUGUUCAUCAUCAACGGAAAAGGACGCUCGCAAAUCCAUAUUCGAAUUCGCUGCUUAAUUAAUUCGCUGUCCGUUCGUUUUUCUGCAUCACGUUUUCAUCUUCUGCUUGACCACAAAGCAUUCGGCAUUCAGCGGUGCAAGAUUCUCCGGCUGCCUGCCUCCUCGUGGACGCCAUAACUUUUCUUCUAUCUUGGCCGGCAAUAAUGGCCACCAGCUAGCGCAACGAUAGAUGUUAUUCUUCCCAAAACGUCUAGAAAAUGGAAUCACGCAAAGCCGCUGGGUACCCCUCGAUCGGCUAGCUAGUGGCGCAUCCAUCCAUCCUUGCUGCCCAUGCACGCGCCCUAGCUCCCAUCCAUAGAUGCAGAUCACCACCGAUCACCUGGCUGCUACCACCGCGCCGCCCCCCUAUAAAUCCCCCGUGUGCCCCCGCCGCCAUGCUGCAUUGCCGCGUCAGAAUCAGAGCUCAGAGGAAUUAAGGAAGAACCACCACAACCUGCUACCACCAGGUACUUAGCAUACUAGCUAGCAGCAUGGACGUGUACGGGCGUGAGCGCUACGGGGGGUACGGAUACGGCGGCCUGGCUACGCCCGGGUACGCGCCGCCGGUUCCGUACGGCAUGUCGCAGGUGAACAUCGAGGGCCACGGGUGCGGCCGUCCGCUUCCGCCGCAGCCGACGGUGAAGGUGUACUGCCGCGCCAACCCCAACUACGCCAUGACGAUCCGCAACGGCAGGGUGGUGCUGGCGCCGGCGAACCCCAAGGACGAGUACCAGCACUGGAUCAAGGACAUGCGGUGGAGCACGAGCAUCAAGGACGAGGAGGGGUACCCGGCGUUCGCGCUGGUGAACAAGGCCACCGGGGAGGCCAUCAAGCACUCCCUGGGGCAGUCCCACCCGGUGCGCCUGGUGCCCUACAACCCCGACUUCCUGGACGAGUCGGUGCUCUGGACGGAGAGCCGCGACGUCGGCAACGGCUUCCGCUGCGUCCGCAUGGUCAACAACAUCUACCUCAACUUCGACGCCCUCCACGGCGACAAGUGGCACGGCGGCGUCCGCGACGGAACCGAGAUCGUGCUCUGGAAGUGGUGCGAGGGAGACAACCAGCGAU
rnacentral:lncRNA from 1 species